rnacentral:rRNA from 1 species
AAAGCCCCUUUCGGGGGGCAAGUAGAGUGGCGCACGGGUGAGUAACACGUAGGUAAUCUACCUUUGGAUUGGGAAUAACAACCGGAAACGGUUGCUAAUACCGAAUAAUGCAGCGGCACCUAAUGGUGACAGUUGUUAAAGCGGGGGAUCGCAAGACCUCGCGUCUGAAGAGGAGCCUGCGGCAGAUUAGCUAGUUGGUAAGGUAACGGCUUACCAAGGCGAUGAUCUGUAGCCGGCCUGAGAGGGCGGUCGGCCACACUGACACUGACAUACGGGUCAGACUCCUACGGGAGGCAGCAGUCGGGAAUUUUGGGCAAUGGGCGAAAGCCUGACCCAGCAACGCCGCGUGAAGGAUGAAAUCCUUCGGGAUGUAAUCUUCGCAAGAACGGGAAGAAUAAGUAAGAGCUAACAUCUCUUACGAUGACGGUACUGUUUGUAAGCUCCGGCUAACUCCGUGCCAGCAGCCGCGGUAAUACGGGGGGAGCAAGCGUUGUUCGGAUUUACUGGGCGUAAAGGGCGCGUAGGCGGCCACCGCAAGUCGACUGUGAAAUCUCCGGGCUUAACCCGGAACGGUCAGCCGAUACUGCGGGGCUAGAGUGCAGAAGGGGCAACUGGAAUUCUCGGUGUAGCGGUGAAAUGCGUAGAUAUCGAGAGGAACACCUGCGGCGAAGGCGGGUUGCUGGGCUGACACUGACGCUGAUGCGCGAAAGCUAGGGGAGCGAACGGGAUUAGAUACCCCGGUAGUCCUAGCCUUAAACGAUGAAUGCUUGGUGUCUGGGGUUUUAUAGU